CCUACGGGGGACAGCAGUGGGGAAUCUUGGGCAAUGGGCGGAAGCCUGACCCAGCAACGCCGCGUGAAGGAAGAAGGCUUUCGGGUUGUAAACUUCUUUUGUCAGGGACGAAGCAAGUGACGGUACCUGACGAAUAAGCCACGGCUAACUACGUGCCAGCAGCCGCGGUAAUACGUAGGUGGCAAGCGUUAUCCGGAUUUACUGGGUGUAAAGGGCGUGUAGGCGGGACUGCAAGUCAGAUGGGAAAACGAGGGGCUCAACCUGUGGACUGCAUUUGAAACUGUAGUUCUUGAGUACAGGAGAGGCAGGCGGAAUUCCUAGUGUAGCGGUGAAAUGCGUAGAUAUUAGGAGGAACACCAGUGGCGAAGGCGGUCUGCUGGACUGCAACUGACGCUGAGGCGCGAAAGCGUGGGGAGCAAACAGGAUUAGAUACCCCAGUAGUC
rnacentral:rRNA from 1 species